AAACAUAGUAUGUAUAUUACUUUAUUGAAUUUUUAUAAUAACAUUGUAACGCGCCGCAGAUUGUGUUACAGAGGUAGAUAUUCGAGAAUAUGACGAUAACUUAGACAACCGGUGUAUUAACAUGUGAAUGUGGAAGUUGGACGGAGUGAUGUGAAGCGGGCAGUGAUAACAAAUGUCCGCGUUCCAUCUCAUUUACUUCCUGCUGUUCGGUUCCUCCUAUUGAACCAGUAGAACGUGCAAGACUGUUUCGUUGUCUGCACAUGUACGGUGUUUCUCCAGGUGAUGGAGUUUCACGACCCUGGCAGGCAGAGCGGGAAUUUGUAUCUCUCUUCCAAUUAGACUGCAGAAGCGAAGGGAUAGAUUUUAAAUCAAACGAAGGUACAUCGAAAAGCAGAAAGCACAUACCUGUUUAGAAGGACCACAGCAUGUUGCAUGAUUACAAGGCUUGUCAGUCUUUGGACAAUCUAGUACACAAUCUUCGGUCGGUGUUUCCUUGACCUCGCUGUUAGAGUGGUACUAGAAUAUUAAUAAUAGAUCCUCAGUCAAUUAUCUAUUAUAUUUUAUAUCUUUUUAUAGUUUCGU
rnacentral:misc_RNA from 1 species